ACUCUGCAGGCAAUGGUAGCGCGCCAGACUUCUAAACGAAGUCACAUCUGGAGGCUGUGGGUUCGAGUCCCACGCAGAGUG